rnacentral:rRNA from 1 species
AGCAGUCGCCGCGGUAAUACGUAGGGUGCAAGCGUUAAUCGGAAUUACUGGGCGUAAAGCGUGCGCAGGCGGUUAUAUAAGACAGAUGUGAAAUCCCCGGGCUCAACCUGGGAACUGCAUUUGUGACUGUAUAGCUAGAGUACGGCAGAGGGGGAUGGAAUUCCGCGUGUAGCAGUGAAAUGCGUAGAUAUGCGGAGGAACACCGAUGGCGAAGGCAAUCACCUGGGCCUGUACUGACGCUCAUGCACGAAAGCGUGGGGAGCAAACAGGAUUAGAUACCCCGGUAGUCCCUGUCUCUUAUAC